UUUGGCGCGCGGGGGCGCCUACACGCGGAGUCUGGGGAGCUUCCCCAGGGUUGCUGAAUGCAGGAGGAGAACAGGGAGCUGGAUCCCCCUACCCAAACUUUCAGAAAAGAGUUCGCUUGAUGUUAGGAGUCCUAGGAAAGAGUGAAUAAUUCAGACAAGAGCGGUAGCAAUCGGCAGCGUUUGCGUGGAAAAGUGGUACAAGCCCUGAGAAGAAAGCUGCUGCGCAAGGCUGGGGAGAGGCCGCCCUCUGUACGUUCAGGACCCGGACUGGAGUGGGACCAUUAGAAGCAGUCCAAAAGCAAGGGACAGCCACACAGAAGGGAAAACUGCUCAAGUAAGAAUGGGGCGGGAAGACAUGGAAAGAGAGGGGAGCCCAAGCUGCAGCAGGACAUUCUUUUAUCUAAGGCAUUGAUUGUUUUGGCCUCCAGACUGCAGCACCAACGUGCACUAAGAACUUCUUGACAUGCAAAUUUGGGAGCCUUAUCCCUAAAUGAGUAUGCAAAGAACGCUGAGGAUGGAGUUUUACCGUCUUUUGCUAACAAGCCCCCUGGGCUAAAUAUGAUACACAAGCCACAAACUAAGAAGGGCAAAGCCAAAACUUCCUUUCAGGAGGCUCCACCUGGGCCUGUGGAGACAAGAACCCACCAGGGAGAGAAAGGGCUCCCUGGCAGGGCGCAAAGGGUAAAGGUUAGUUGAAUGAGUGUAUGUUGUUUUCCUGGGUCAGGCUGUGCCAGGGGCAAGGUAAUUUUUGUAGAAAUAAUCACCCGCCAAGAUUCCUAAAACAGAGGACAGGCUGUGACUGAGAAUGGGGUAGCCUCUACUAACUCCCUGACUGAAAACGGGAACUCUCUCUCCUUCUCUCCCUCUCUUCCUUCUCCCCCUACUUUAUGUGUCCAUCUAUAGCAGAGAGUUAAAUGUAAACUAGGAUCCAGAUUUAACCCUACGGUAAUUUUCUCUCCUCUGAAAUUUCCACUGUCCACCCAGACCUUGGUCAGCUGAGCAAACCUAAAAGGUGGACAGGAAGCAAAAACGUUAGUUCUGCAGAGAUUCCUUCUGGGGGGUAAAAAAUCAAGUCGAGACAUUGUGGAAUAACACUUGUCUAUUCUAGCUUUCUAUCUGAAGCAGUGCCGUGCUGAGGAGGCAAGUUUUUCCCCCCAUAGACAAAUUGUUCCUUCAAUACAUUGGGGUGUCCUUAGUUAAAUAACAAGGGACUCCAGCACAGAUUGAAUCUAAGCGCUUAGCUUGCCACAGGCUGGAGGCUGUAAUGUAUCCUAGAAGUACAGCUCCCUCACUGCAGCUGCCAGGGUAUACAUGGGAUUGGGAUACAGAAAUAAGAAGGAGGACUUGACACCCAGACCCAUCACUGCCACCCCAAUCUUAAACACACACUUCACUGCCCCCCGCCCAGACCCAUGCUCAAAAGAUUCCAGAUUACUCAGCCAUUCCUGGGAUGGUGAAUAUACAGGUCUAAUGUUUGAAAAUAUGUACACAUCUUUUGCCUAGGUUUCUGUCCUUGACUCCUAUCAUGAUAUGGUAAUUCUAUCAUCAACAUUGACAGGGAAUAUUUCCAGCCUAUAUGUUCUCUUGCACAUCUUCAGCUGCCCACAUCUUGCCUCUGGGUAUUGAUUUAAAGUCUUAGCUUCCCAGCAUUUCCCAUCUAAUAUAAAUAUCUGUUCCUAAUCAUUUCUCUGUAGGUGUAUUAGCUCACACUUCCCAAAGAGGAAACUCUUUUGGACUCCAUUAAGAUGCAGUCACACAAUCACUGUAGAAUGUCCCCAUUUAUUUCCAUCCACGGAUUUAAUUAAAAUGGCAUGCUUCUUUUCUUCUUUAUCCUUAAUUGGGUUAUCUUACUGUAUGGAGCAAAAACAGCUGGGCAUUACACAAUGCCAAAACAUUCGGUUACACACUUUUCUUAAUCUUCCGGUUUAAAUUUUCAUUCAGGCAAAAAAAAACCUGAUACCUAGACAGAUGAAGUGCCUCACUCAAGAGGACACAGUACUUUCGAGCACUUGGCAGAGAAACUAUAAUAGGGACUCCUGACCCAUAGCCAGGGCUCCUUGUCAGUAAUAACCUGAUCUUGGAUGCCUGUGGCAACGGUCAACAGCAUCCAGCCACCUUUAUGGCCAUCAUUCUCACAGUGAGGGGAAAGAGGAACGCCUAGCAACAACUUCCAACAGCUCCCAAUCAAAUCACAGUGGAAGGAAGCAGAGCAGCAGCAACAGCAGCAGCAGCAGCAGCAGCAGCAUAUGGACUGCCUGGCCCUAAGGAGUGCGCUGGCAGAUUGCAGCAAGGUGCCAAGACAGCGUUUUCAAAGGGUUUUACAGACAGAGUCCAUAUGUUGUGACCAAAGCACAGGACUGAACAGCUUUCUCUUUCUCCUAUACCUUGUUGGUCAACCUCAGAGGAGCAGGCAGCGAAAGGCACUCCAUUUUCUGCCUCCUGGUCAUUCCUUAACCCACCCAUACACUAGCCUCUACUGCUGCAAUCCCUGAAAUAUCACCACUCCAAGGGUCAAGGGGCCAACCAGCCCAAGACAAAGAGUCUAGGAAGACACUUCAGAUAAACAUGCUUGAGUCUAAGACAAGGAGGCUCAACAGGGUCCCAGAGUCCUCUUUCGGGCCAAGACCAAUAAAUUGUACUGCCCACAAACAGGCUGGGUCUUCCCACCUCAUUGAAUCCAAGAAAAUUCGUCAUGGAGAUGCACAGUGGUCAACCCAAUCCAGACAAUUCCUCGUGGAGACUCUCUUCCCAGCCAGGAUUUUCAGGGGGGUCUCUCCCAAUCAAAUCUGAUCUCUAUCAACCUUAAACGAAUCCACAGCCUUUCAUUUCCUGUGGAAACAAAAGUGUAACAUCUUCCCCAAGCUCUCUGUUCCCAGAAUUCCUGCCUGUACCUCCUGCCUAGCUAUUGACCACUCAGCUCUUUAUUAAACCAAUCACAGUGACACAUCUUCACACAAUGUAAAGGCAUAUUCCACAACAGAAAUGUCCUGGCUUUAAAAAGACAUUUGUGGAAGACUGUAUCCAUUUGCUAGACCUUCCAUUACAUAAUUCCACAAACCAGGAGGCUUGGACAACAAAAAAUGUAUUUUCUCAUCAUCCUGAAAGCUGAAAGUCUAAGAUCAAGGUGUCUGGGGGUUGAAUUUGUUCUGAUACCUCUCUCUGUGGAUUGCAGAUGGCCUUGCUGCCUCUGCAAGGUCUUUAUCUUCUCUUUUCAAGGGAAUAUUGAUUAGAUAGGUUAGGGCUCAACCUUAGGACUCUAUCUUCAGUCAGAAAGCAGGAAAAGAUGGGUGCUAUUCUUAGUGCUUUUACAUUUCUGUGUAGCCUGUGCCCUCAGCCCACAUCUAGCAUGGCUCUUUCUUUCUCAGUUAAUCUUCUCAGGGAACACCCUCAGAGACAUACCCAGAGUUGUGUCUCCUAGGUAACUCUAAAAUCCAAACUAGCAUGCCUGGCAGAGUGGCCCACACCUUUAGUCCCAACACUCGGGAGGCAGAAAGAGGCAGAUCUCUGUGAAUUCAAGGCCAGCCUGAUCUACAUAGUGAGUUCCAGGACAGCCAGGGCUACAUAGUCAGACCGUGAGACCCUGUCCCAAAAAUUAAAAAAAAAAGAAAGAAAAGAAAAAACACCAAUACUUUGUUUUAUGUGUAAUGAAGUAAAUCAAGUAUGUUGGUUAAUUUUAUGUGAACUUGACACAAGCUAGAGUCAGUUGGAAAGAGAGAAACUCUCAGUUGGGAUAAUACUUUCAUAAGAUUGGCCUAUGGGACAUUUUCUUGAUAAGUGAUUGCUAGGGGGCAGCUCACUGUGAGCAGUGUCUCCCCUGGGCAAAUGGGCCUGGGUGGUACAAAAAAGCAGGCUGAGAAAGCCAUGAAGAACAAACCAGGAAGCAGCAUUCCUCCAAGACCUCUGCAUCAGUUCCUGCCUCCAGGCUCCUGCCUUGAGUUCCUUCCCUGACUUCCCUCUGUGAUAGAAUGUGACCUAAGAGUUAUAAGAUGAAAUAAGCCCUUUCUCCUCUAAGUUGCUUUUGGUCAUGGAGUUUCAUCACAGCAAUAGAAACCCAAACUUCGAUAUUAGGCUUAAAUAAAAUCAAGGGUUAAAGUGA